rnacentral:lncRNA from 1 species
GAGAGAAAAACCAUCGUCUAACUACCGUUGAAAUGAUAGCUUAACAAAGACAAAUGAUACUUUUACCUAACUAUCGAUGAGAUAGCUUAACAAAGGUAAGAAUGAGAGAAAAACCAUCGUCUAACUGAUACUUUUACCUAACUAUCGAUGAGAUAGCUUAACAAAGGUAAGAAUGAAAGAAAAACCAUCGUCUAACUACCGUUGAAAUGAUAGCUUAACAAAGACAAAUGAUACUUUUACCUAACUAUCGAUGAGAUAGCUUAACAAAGGUAAGAAUGAAAGAAAAACUGUCGUCUAACUAUCGUUGAAAUGAUAGCUUAACAAAGACAAAUGAUACUUUUACCUAACUAUCGAUGAGAUAGCUUAACAAAGGUAAGAAUGAGAGAAAAAACAUCGUCUAACUAUCGAUGAAAUGAUAGCUUAACAAAGACUAAUGAUACUUUUACCUAACUAUCGAUGAGAUAGCUUAACAAAGGUAAGAAUGAGGGAAAAACAUCAUCUAACUACCGCUGAAAUGAUAGCUUAACAAAGACAAAUGAUACUUUUACCUAACUAUCAAAAUGAUAGCUUAACAAAGGUACGAAUGAGAGAAAACACCGUCAAACUAUCGAUGAAAUGAUAGCUUAACAAAGAAAAAUGAUACUUUUACCUAACUAUCGAUGAGAUAGCUUAACAAAGGUAAGAAUGAAAGAAAAACCAUCGUCUAACUAUCGUUGAAAUGAUAGCUUAACAAAGACAAAUGAUACUUUUACCUAAACUAUCGAUGAGAUAGCUUAACAAAGGUAAGAAUGAGUGAAAAAACAUCGUCUAACUAUCGUUGAAAUGAUAGCUUAACAAAGACAAAUGAUACUUUUACCUAACUAUCGAUGAGAUAGCUUAACAAAGGUAAGAAUGAAAGAAAAACCAUCGUCUAACUAUCGUUGAAAUGAUAGCUUAACAAAGACAAAUGAUACUUUUACCUAACUAUCGAUGAGAUAGCUUAACAAAGGUAAGAAUGAAAGGACAACUUGGUCAGUCACAC